rnacentral:misc_RNA from 1 species
CAACCCUCAAGCUCUGCUUGGUAUUGGACCCGCGACUUACCCCGCGGGCCUUAAAAUCAGUGGCGGCGCCCUCAGGCUCUGAACGUAGUAUAUAUUCCUCGUUACGGAGUCCUGGCGGCGGUAGUCAUCAGCCCCCAACUUUCUAA